GGUAGAAAAGUGGUCUCUUUAC
rnacentral:miRNA from 1 species